AUUGAACGCUGGCGGCAGGCCUAACACAUGCAAGUCGAGCGGUAGCACAGGAGAGCUUGCUCUCCGGGUGACGAGCGGCGGACGGGUGAGUAAUGUCUGGGAAACUGCCUGAUGGAGGGGGAUAACUACUGGAAACGGUAGCUAAUACCGCAUAACGUCGCAAGACCAAAGAGGGGGACCUUCGGGCCUCUUGCCAUCAGAUGUGCCCAGCUGGGAUUAGCUAGUAGGUGGGGUAACGGCUCACCUAGGCGACGAUCCCUAGCUGGUCUGCGAGGAUGACCAGCCACACUGGAACUGAGACACGGUCCAGACUCCUACGGGAGGCAGCAGUGGGGAAUAUUGCACAAUGGGCGCAAGCCUGAUGCAGCCAUGCCGCGUGUAUGAAGAAGGCCUUCGGGUUGUAAAGUACUUUCAGCGGGGAGGAGGGUGCUGAGGUUAAUAACCUCAGCAAUUGACGUUACCCGCAGAAGAAGCACCGGCUAACUCCGUGCCAGCCGCCGCCGUAAAAC
rnacentral:rRNA from 1 species